rnacentral:rRNA from 1 species
CCAGACUCCUACGGGAGGCAGCAGUAGGGAAUCUUUCACAAUGGGCGAAAGCCUGAUGGAGCAACGCCGCGUGCAGGAUGAAGGCCUUCGGGUUGUAAACUGCUUUUAUAAGCGAGAAAUAUGAUGGUAACUUAUGAAUAAGGAUCGGCUAACUACGUGCCAGCAGCCGCGGUAAUACGGAGGAUGCGAGCGUUAUCCGGAUUUAUUGGGUUUAAAGGGUGCGCAGGCGGCGUGUCAAGUCAGCGGUAAAAUGUCGGGGCUCAACCCCGGCCGGCCGUUGAAACUGGCGUGCUCGAGUUGGAGAGAAGUAUGCGGAAUUCGUGGUGUAGCGGUGAAAUGCAUAGAUAUCACGAAGAACCCCGAUUGCGAAGGCAGCAUACCGGCUCCACACUGACGCUGAGGCACGAAAGCGUGGGUAUCGAACAGGAUUAGAUACCCUCGUACUC